rnacentral:tRNA from 1 species
GGGAGUGUAGCUCAGCCGGGAGAGCGUUCGCCUCACACGCGAGAGGUCACGGGUUCGAGCCCCGUCGCCCCCA